rnacentral:rRNA from 1 species
AAUGAACGCUGGCGGCAUGGAUUAGGCAUGCAAGUCGAACGGGCCGCUUUUCGCAAGAGAGGCGGCCAGUGGCGAAAGGGUGAGUAACACGUGAGUAACCUGCCCCCGAGUCCGGGAUAGCCCGCGGAAACGCGGAUUAAUACCGGAUGUGGUACUCUGCCGCAUGGCAGAGCCACUGAAGAUUUAUCGCUCGGGGAUGGGCUCGCGGCCCAUAAGCUGGUUGGCGGGGUCACGGCCCACCAAGGCUAUGACGGGUAGGUGGUCUGAGAGGAUGGUCACCCACACUGGGACUGAGACACUGCCCAGACUCCUACGGGAGGCAG